AUUUUUAGUACGUUAAACUCACUCAACUGGUUAGGCAUUUAAAUACCAAUGCUAGUGUAAUCAGUUUGGGCGUAGCAGGCACCUGAGAAGGACAUGCUGUCCUGUAAUAGAGUUUGUCCAACAAAAUACCUACAUCUGAGUAUUUUCUAACCAGGUUCUUCUCACUUCUGAGGUAAGAGAGUUUUAUUUUAAAGUUUGUUAAUUGUUAAUUUCAGUUGCAAUGACAGCCAAGUUCCUUUUUGUGUUUUUGUUCAUUUGUUCCAUAAAGUUGUGUUAAACUUACCAUAUUGUUUAAGUACAUAAAAACUGGUAAUGUUUAUAAAGUAUACAAAGUAACUGUAAAGUAACAAUGCUCCGUAAACAUUGUAAAAAGUGUGUAUAGUAAUUGCGUGAAUUCAGUGUAUAAGUAAACAUGCUAUUUGUAUAAUAUAUAUAGUAUGUGUAAAGUACAAGUAUAAAUCAUAUAAGUAAAACACGAGUAAAAGUAUGCAUGUAUAAUAUAAGUAAAUACAUGUAAAGUAUAUGUGUUAAGUAAUGUAUAUGCAUGUGGAAAAACGUGCAUAGAAUAUAACCCCAAUGUAUGGUACAUACAGUUAUGAAAUGUAUACUAUCAAUAGAUCCCAGUAUUCCAGUAUUCCAGUAUUGCAGUAUUGCAGUAUUCAGUAUUCAAGGGAGUCAGCCUUCAGAAAAUGGAACCACCAUAAACAUUCAUCAUUCAACAAUUCACCAACUUUGGCCUGUCUUACACGGAUACACGGACGGAUGGUUUGUGAGCCCGCCGAGGCCGCCAUUACGGACCAGCCAAUAAGUGACAGACAAAAACUUAAAUAUAUUUCUCUGUAAAACUUAAAUUACAAUAUAACCAAAUGUAUUGAACAGUAUUAAAAUGUAGUUAAUUAU
rnacentral:sRNA from 1 species